rnacentral:snRNA from 1 species
UAAAAUUGGAACAAUACAAAGAAGAUUAGCAUGGCCCCUGCACAAGGAUAACACGCAAAUUUGUGAAACAUUCCAUAUUUUU